CACAAAUGAAAAUUCUUAUUUCCAUGAAGUGCCUUUUCUGUGCUGGAAAAUUGUGCACAAGGGAGUUUGAAAACAAGGAUGUAUCUAGGUUUUUUGUUGUGGUGGUUGUUUUUGUUUUUAAUUUGUGCUUCCUCACCCGUUUUCUUUGCUGGCCCCCACAAUCUUGUAUGCCCCUUUUUUCUCUUUUACCAUCCCUGCUCAGGUCACAUAUCAAUCAGAAGUGAUUUUUCUAAGAUGCUAGAAACAUUCGCCACAUAAUAUUUUACCUAAUGGCUGCUCUACUUCUCAAGGUGUUUAGUUAGUGCUUUCAACCAUGAUAUCCUCAUUUUAGAAUUAGAGGUAGACACUCUGAGAUUAAAGGAUCAGACUUGGUUAAACACUGGAAACAAGUCAAGAGUGAGAUUACUGUGGGGUUUAAAAAGUUCUUAGUAAAGAUUAAAAAUUUCUUUGCCUGAAGUGUGCUUCUAGAUUAGGAUUACAGAUGAAAGUGUUUCUCUUGUUGUUACCCUGAGCAAGAACUAAUCAACCAUGAAGUUUUGAAGGGAGAGGGAAUUUAAAAAUGCCAGAAGUAGCUGCUUGUUCCAUAGGAUUUGGAGACUUUCCCAUCCAGUGGGAAAUUCACUGGCCUUAGGGUAAAAGAGUGGGUCCUGCUUUUGAUCCUGUGGGCUUUCUCAAGUCUCCCCUGCCAUCAGUUUUCUCAUUUUUAUUAUGGAGUAAUUGAGCUUAAUGUUCUUCAAGAUCAUCCUCUUACUUUGUAUUUUGAGGAUUCCUUUGAUAUGUGUAGCUUAGAAGGUGCUGGGUAUUGGUGCUAAUGUCUUGUAUCCUCAUCUCCUACUCUCAGCCCUGUUCCCUUCUAAGCCAAGAAUAAGCAUAUACCAUGCUUGUUAUUAUUCAGUACCCUCAUAGGUUCUGUCUUCCUCUUUACAACCUGCUAGAAGAAGACCAAAUCAGCAAAUAAGUAUAUUUUUACUGGAGUAAUC
rnacentral:lncRNA from 1 species